UUCAAAUUCAAAAAAUUGCCA
rnacentral:piRNA from 1 species